rnacentral:rRNA from 1 species
UACGGGGGGAGCAAGCGUUGUUCGGAUUUACUGGGCGUAAAGGGCGCGUAGGCGGCCAGUGCAAGUCAGUUGUGAAAUCUCCGAGCUUAACUCGGAAAGGUCAACUGAUACUGCUCGGCUAGAGUGCGGAAGGGGCAACUGGAAUUCUUGGUGUAGCGGUGAAAUGCGUAGAUAUCAAGAGGAACACCUGCGGCGAAGGCGGGUUGCUGGGCCGACACUGACACUGAGGAGCGAAAGCCAGGGGAGCAAACGGG